UGCUUGCACCAGGUGAUCAGUGGCGAACGGGUGAGUAACACGUGAGUAACCUGCCCCUGACUCUGGGAUAACCCCGGGAAAUCGGAGCUAAUACCGGAUACGAGACGCACAGGCAUCUGUCGCGUCUGGAAAGAAUUUCGGUCAGGGAUGGACUCGCGGCCUAUCAGCUAGUUGGUGAGGUAACGGCCCACCAAGGCGACGACGGGUAGCCGGCCUGAGAGGGCGACCGGCCACACUGGGACUGAGACACGGCCCAGACUCCUACGGGAGGCAGCAGUGGGGAAUAUUGCACAAUGGGCGAAAGCCUGAUGCAGCGACGCCGCGUGGGGGAUGAAGGCCUUCGGGUUGUAAACCCCUUUCAGCAGGGAAGAAGCGAAAGUGACGGUACCUGCAGAAGAAGCGCCGGCUAACUACGUGCCAGCAGCCGCGGUAAUACGUAGGGCGCAAGCGUUGUCCGGAUUUAUUGGGCGUAAAGAGCUCGUAGGCGGUUUGUCGCGUCUGCUGUGAAAACCCGAGGCUCAACCUCGGGCCUGCAGUGGGUACGGGCAGACUAGAGUGCGGUAGGGGAGACUGGAAUUCCUGGUGUAGCGGUGGAAUGCGCAGAUAUCAGGAGGAACGCCGAUGGCGAAGGCAGGUCUCUGGGCCGCAACUGACGCUGAGGAGCGAAAGCAUGGGGAGCGAACAGGAUUAGAUACCCUGGUAGAAUCACUAGUGAAUUC
rnacentral:rRNA from 1 species